UGGGGCGUAGCCAAGCGGUAAGGCAACGGGUUUUGGCUCCGUCAUGCACAGGUUCGAGCCCUGUCGCCCCAGCCA
rnacentral:tRNA from 1 species